UACUCCUACGGGAGGCAGCAGUGGGGAAUAUUGCGCAAUGGGGGGAACCCUGACGCAGCCAUGCCGCGUGAAUGAAGAAGGCCUUCGGGUUGUAAAGUUCUUUCGGUAUUGAGGAAGGUUGAUGUGUUAAUAGCACAUCAAAUUGACGUUAAAUACAGAAGAAGCACCGGCUAACUCCGUGCCAGCAGCCGCGGUAAUACGGAGGGUGCGAGCGUUAAUCGGAAUAACUGGGCGUAAAGGGCACGCAGGCGGUUAUUUAAGUGAGGUGUGAAAGCCCUGGGCUUAACCUAGGAAUUGCAUUUCAGACUGGGUAACUAGAGUACUUUAGGGAGGGGUAGAAUUCCACGUGUAGCGGUGAAAUGCGUAGAGAUGUGGAGGAAUACCGAAGGCGAAGGCAGCCCCUUGGGAAUGUACUGACGCUCAUGUGCGAAAGCGUGGGGAGCAAACAGGAUUAGAUACCCUGGUAGUCCACGCUGUAAACGCUGUCGAUUUGGGGGUUGGGGUUUAACUCUGGCGCCCGUAGCUAACGUGAUAAAUCGACCGCCUGGGGAGUACGGCCGCAAGGUUAAAACUCAAAGGAAUUGACGGA
rnacentral:rRNA from 1 species